CCCUUAGAUGUUCUGGGCCGCACGCGCGCUACACUGAUGCAUUCAACGAGCCUAUCCUUGACCGACAGGUCCGGGUAAUCUUUGAAUCUGCAUCGUGACGGGGAUAGAUUAUUGCAAUUAUUAAUCUUCAACGAGGAAUGUCUAGUAGGCGCAAGUCAUCAGCUUGCGUCGAUUACGUCCCUGCCCUUUGUACACACCGCCCGUCGCUCCUACCGAUUGGGUGUGCUGGUGAAAUGUUCGGAUCGGCCGUUUGUCGCGGUUUCCGCGGCUCGUGGCUGAGAAGUUCAUUAAACCCUCCCACCUAGAGGAAGGAGAAGUCGUAACA
rnacentral:rRNA from 1 species